AGAGUUUGAUCCUGGCUCAGGAUGAACGCUAGCUACAGGCUUAACACAUGCAAGUCGAGGGGCAGCAUGUUGGUUGCUUGCAACCGAUGAUGGCGACCGGCGCACGGGUGAGUAACGCGUAUCCAACCUACCCUUGUCCAUCGGAUAACCCGUCGAAAGGCGGCCUAACACGAUAUGCGGUUCACCGCAGGCAUCUAACGUGAACGAAAUGUGAAGGAGAAGGAUGGGGAUGCGUCUGAUUAGCUUGUUGGCGGGGUAACGGCCCACCAAGGCAACGAUCAGUAGGGGUUCUGAGAGGAAGGUCCCCCACAUUGGAACUGAGACACGGUCCAAACUCCUACGGGAGGCAGCAGUGAGGAAUAUUGGUCAAUGGACGAGAGUCUGAACCAGCCAAGUAGCGUGCAGGAUGACGGCCCUAUGGGUUGUAAACUGCUUUUAUAGGGGGAUAAAGUGUGCCACGUGUGGCAUAUUGCAGGUACCCUAUGAAUAAGGACCGGCUAAUUCCGUGCCAGCAGCCGCGGUAAUACGGAAGGUCCGGGCGUUAUCCGGAUUUAUUGGGUUUAAAGGGAGCGUAGGCCGUUUGGUAAGCGUGUUGUGAAAUGUCGGGGCUCAACCUGGGCAUUGCAGCGCGAACUGCCAGACUUGAGUGCGCAGGAAGUAGGCGGAAUUCGUCGUGUAGCGGUGAAAUGCUUAGAUAUGACGAAGAACUCCGAUUGCGAAGGCAGCCUGCUGUAGCGCAACUGACGCUGAAGCUCGAAAGCGUGGGUAUCGAACAGGAUUAGAUACCCUGGUAGUCCACGCGGUAAACGAUGGAUGCUCGCUGUUUGCGUCUGACGUAAGCGGCCAAGCGAAAGCGUUAAGCAUCCCACCUGGGGAGUACGCCGGCAACGGUGAAACUCAAAGGAAUUGACGGGGGCCCG
rnacentral:rRNA from 1 species